UAGGGAAUAUUAGUAAUGGGCGAAAGCCUGAACUAGCAACGCCGCGUGUGCGAAGAAGGCCUUCGGGUUGUAAAGCACUUUUUGAGAGGAUGAGGAAGGACGGUACUCUCAGAAUAAGUCUCGGCUAACUACGUGCCAGCAGCCGCGGUAAUACGUAGGAGGCAAACGUUAUCCGGAUUUACUGGGCGUAAAGCGCGUGUAGGUGGUUUGCUAAGUAGGGCGUGAAAGCUCCUGGCUCAACUGGGAGAGGCCGUUCUAAACUGCCGGACUAGAGGAUGGUAGAGGGAGGUGGAAUUCCGGGUGUAGCGGUGGAAUGCGCAGAUAUCCGGAGGAACACCAGUGGCGAAAGCGGCCUCCUGGACCAUUCCUGACACUCAGACGCGAAAGCUAGGGUAGCAAACGG
rnacentral:rRNA from 1 species